CAAGUCGGGAAAGUUUUUCGCUAAGGGAUCAGUCUAUGUUCCAUCAGCUUGUUGGUGAGGUAAUGGCUCACCAAGGCUAUGACGGAUAUCUGGCUUGAGAGGAUGAUCAGACACACUGGAACUGAGACACGGUCCAGACUCCUACGGGAGGCAGCAGUGAGGAAUAUUGCACAAUGGAGGAAACUCUGAUGCAGCAACGCCGCGUGGAGGAUGACGCAUUUCGGUGUGUAAACUCCUUUUAUUAGGGAAGAUAAUGACGGUACCUAAUGAAUAAGCACCGGCUAACUCCGUGCCAGCAGCCGCGGUAAUACGGAGGGUGCAAGCGUUACUCGGAAUCACUGGGCGUAAAGGGUGCGUAGGCUGGCUUUUAAGUCAGAUGUGAAAUCCAAUGGCUCAACCAUUGAACUGCAUUUGAAACUGAAAGCCUAGAGUUCAGAAGGGGCAGAUGGAAUUAGUGGUGUAGGGGUAAAAUCCGUAGAUAUCACUAGGAAUAUCAAAAGCGAAGGCGAUCUGCUGGGAU
rnacentral:rRNA from 1 species